CAAUAGCGUAUAUUAAAGUUGUUGCAGUUAAAAAGCUCGUAGUUGGAUUUCUGGUAGGAGUGACCGUUCCGAACUUGAUUGUUCGUGUAUUGUGUUUUCUCCAGCCAUCCUUGUGGAGAACUUUUCUUGCAUUAAUUUGUAGGGAUUGGGACCCGCAUCGUUUACUGUGAAAAAAUUAGAGUGUUUAAAGCAGGUAAUCGCUUGAAUACAUUAGCAUGGAAUAAUAAGAUAGGACUUUGGUACUAUUUUGUUGGUUUGCAUACCAAAUUAAUGAUCAACAGGAACAGUUUGAGGAUAUUCGUAUGAACAUGUCAGAGGUGAAAUUCUUGGAUUUUGAUCAGACGAACUACUGCGAAAGCAUUUAUCAAGGAUGUUUUCAUUAA
rnacentral:rRNA from 1 species